UUAUGAUGGGUAGGAGAGCUUUCUAUACGGAUUGAAGCAUUACCGUAAGGAGAUGUGGACUGUAUAGAAGUGAGAAUGUUGGCAUGAGUAGCGAGAUGUGGGUGAGAAUCCCACAGGCCGUAAACCCAAGGUUUCCAGGGGAAGGUUCGUCCGCCCUGGGUUAGUCAGGACCUAAGCCGAGGCCGAAAGGCGUAGGUGAUGGACAACAGGUUGAUAUUCCUGUACCACCAAUAACCGUUUGAGAAAUGGGAUGACACAGUAGGAUAAGCUAACCGCACUGUUGGUUAUGUGCGGGCAAGUAUUGAGGCAGUUUAGGUAGGCAAAUCCGCCUGAAUAAUGCUGGGGUACGAUGCGGAGCGAAAUUUAGUAGCGAAGUAGCUGAUUUCACACUGUCGAGAAAAGUCUCUAUCGAGGUUAAAGGUGCCUGUACCGCAAACCGACACAGGUGGGUGAGGAGAGUAUCCUAAGGCCAGCCAGAGAACUGUUGUUAAGGAACUCGGCAAAAUGACCCCGUAACUUAGGGAGAAGGGGUGCCUUCGAAAGAAGGCCGCAGAGAAUAGGCCCAAGCGACUGUUUACCAAAAACAUAGGUUUCUGCUAAGUCGCAAGACGAUGUAUAGGAGCUGACGCCUGCCCGGUGCUGGAAGGUUAAGGGGAUCUGUUAGGGUAACCGAAGCAGUGAACUUAAGCCCCAGUAAACGGCGGCCGUAACUAUAACGGUCCUAAGGUAGCGAAAUUCCUUGUCGGGUAAGUUCCGACCCGCACGAAAGGCGUAACGAUUUGGGCACUGUCUCAACAACAGACUGGGUGAAAUUGUAAUACCGGUGAAGAUGCCGGUUACCUGCGACAGGACGGAAAGACCCCAUGGAGCUUUACUGUAGCUUGACAUUGAGUCUCGGUGCUACAUGUACAGGAUAGGUGGGAGGCUAUGAAGCAUGGACGUCAGUCUGUGUGGAGCCAUCCUUGGGAUACCACCCUUGUAGUACUGGGAUUCUAACCAGCUGCCUUGAAUCAGGUAGUGGGACACUGUCAGGUGGACAGUUUGACUGGGGCGGUCGCCUCCUAAAAAGUAACGGAGGCGCUCAAAGGUUCUCUCAGUACGGUCGGAAAUCGUACGUAGAGUGUAAAGGCAGAAGAGAGCUUGAUUGCAAGACAUACAGGUCGAGCAAGGACGAAAGUCGGACUUAGUGAUCCGGUGGUACCGCAUGGAAGGGCCAUCGCUCAACGGAUAAAAGCUACCCUGGGGAUAACAGGCUGAUCUCCCCCAAGAGUCCACAUCGACGGGGAGGUUUGGCACCUCGAUGUCGGCUCAUCACAUCCUGGGGCUGUAGUAGGUCCCAAGGGUUGGGCUGUUCGCCCAUUAAAGUGGUACGCGAGCUGGGUUCAGAACGUCGUGAGACAGUUCGGUCCCUAUCCGUCGCAGGCGUAGGAAAUUUGAGGAGACCUGUCCUUAGUACGAGAGGACCGGGAUGGACGUACCGCUGGUGUACCAGUUGUUCUGCCAAGGGCAUAGCUGGGUAGCUAAGUACGGAAAGGAUAAGCGCUGAAAGCAUCUAAGCGCGAAGCCUACUUCAAGAUAAGAUUUCCCACCGCAAGGUUAAGACCCCAUGAAGACUACAUGGUUGA
rnacentral:rRNA from 1 species